GACGAACGCUGGCGGCGUGCUUAACACAUGCAAGUCGAACGAAGUGGCGAACGGGUGAGUAACGCGUAAUCAACCUGCCCUUCAGAGGGGGACAACAGUUGGAAACGACUGCUAAUACCGCAUACUGAAGGAGGGGAUUGCGUCUGAUUAGCUAGUUGGAGGGGUAACGGCCCACCAAGGCGAUGAUCAGUAGCCGGUCUGGGAGGAUGGACGGCCACAUUGGGACUGGGGCACGGCCCAGAAUCCUACGGGAGGCAGCAGUGGGGAAUCAUCCGCAAUGGGCGGAAAUCUGACGGAACAACGGCGCGUGAGUGAUGACAGCCUUCGGGUUGUAAAGCUCUGUUAAUCGGGGCGCGGUACCGGAAUAGAAAGCCACGGCUAACUACGUGCCAGCAGCCGCGGUAAUAC
rnacentral:rRNA from 1 species